rnacentral:rRNA from 1 species
UACGUAGGGUGCAAGCGUUAAUCGGAAUUACUGGGCGUAAAGCGUGCGCAGGCGGUUUUGUAAGCCCGAUGUGAAAUCCCCGGGCUUAACCUGGGAACUGCAUUGGUGACUGCAAGGCUUGAGUGUGUCAGAGGGAGGUGGAAUUCCGCGUGUAGCAGUGAAAUGCGUAGAUAUGCGGAGGAACACCGAUGGCGAAGGCAGCCUCCUGGGAUAACACUGACGCUCAUGCACGAAAGCGUGGGGAGCAAACAGG